rnacentral:pre_miRNA from 1 species
CAAAUAUUCCCUCCGUCUCAAAAUUCUUGUCAUAGUUUUAUCUAAAUAUGGAUGCAUCUAGUCACGAUUUAGCGCUAGAUACAUCCGUAUCUAGCCAUAUCUAGACAAAUCUUAGAAAAGAAUUUUGGGACGAAGAAAGUAACAA